CAAAAGUAGAGGACAGUGAUCAGCACUCGUUGAAAUACCUAGUGCGUCUUCCAUGUUUUUUGUAAGGAAUGAAAACAAACAAUGCAAAAUUACAUGUUUCUGGUACCCCCCCGAGUUUUAUUCUAAUGGUAUGAAAAUGAAAGAACGGGACAACAUCCAAAACAUGGAGUCUAGUUUUAAGUUAAUACAAUUGAAGUCCAAAAUGAUGUUACUCACUUGAGCACGGUGCUGGUAAUUAUCUUUAAGAGAAGCAGGGCCACCAAGGUACCAACAUGUACAGAGAAGACUUAUCAACUCAAACAAAAAGGUUUUUUUAUUUUUUUAUA